UGCUCCACAUCCCUAUAAACCUGUCCUAUCUAUGUACCUGUAUAACUGUUUCUUAAACGUUGCGAUAGUUCCUGCCUCAACUAUGUCCUCUGGCACCUCUUUCCAUACACCUACAACCCUUUACGUGAAAAGACUAC